AGCUACGGUCACGCCACCCUGACCUGAUCUCAUCUGAUCUCGGAAGCUAGGCAGGGUCAGGCCUGGUUAGUACUUUGAUGGGCGACUACCUGGGAAUACCAAGUGCUGUAGGCU
ensembl:rRNA 5S_rRNA 5S ribosomal RNA